AAAUGGAAUACAAGAGUGCACACGCUGAAAUGUCUCGCCUUCUAUACUAAUCAUUGAUAUUAUGUUGAUAGUCCUAAGUAUAAAGCUAAGCUUUAAUACAACUGUCACAUAAACUUAACAUUAACCAAGAUAACUAAACAAAGACCAAUGAACCUUGAAAAUGAGGUCAAGGUCAGAUGAACCAUGCCAGGCAGACAUGUACAGCUAACAAUGCUUCUAUAUAACAUAUAUAGUUGACCUAUUACUUAUAGAUUAAGAAAAAUAGACCAAAACACAGAAACUUAACACUGUGCAAUGAGCCGUGAAAAUGAGGUCACGGUCAAAUAAAACCUGCGCGACUGACAUAAAGAUCAUAAAAUAUUUCCAUACACCAAAUAUAGAUGACCUAUGGCAUAUAGUAUUAGAUAAAAAGACCAAAACUCAAAAACUUAACUUUGACCACUGAACAAUGAAAAUGAGGUCAAGGUCACAUGACAUCUGCCCGCUAGAUAGUUACACCUUACAAUCAUUCCAUACAACAAAUAUAGUAGACCUAUUGCACAUAGUAUGAGAAAAACAGACCAAAACACAAAAAUUUAACUAUAACCACUGAACCAUGAAAAUGAGGUCAAGGUCAGAUGACACCUGCCAGUUGGACAUGUACACCUUACAGUCCUUCCAUACACCGAAUAUACUAGCCCUAUUGCUUG
rnacentral:lncRNA from 1 species